AGUGAACGCUGGCGGUGGGCCUAACACAUGCAAGUCGAACGGCAGCGCACUAAGAGCUUUCUCUGACGGGGGGCAAGGGGCAGACGGGUGGGGAAUACAGCGGAAUCUACUUUUUCGUGGGGGAUAACGUAGGGAAACUUACGCUAAUACCGCAUACGACCUACGGGUGAAAUCAGGGGUUCUUGGAACCUUGCGCUUUGGAGGGAGCCGGUGGCGGAUUAGCUAGUUGUCGGGGUAAAGGCCCACCAUGGCGACGAUGCGUAGCUGGUCGGAGAGGAUGAUCAGCGGCAAUGGAACUGAGACGACGCCCAGACUCCUACGGGAGGCAGCAGUGGGGAAUAUUGGACCAUGGGCGCAAGCCUGCUCCAGCCAUACCGCGUGGGUGAAGAAGGCCUUCGGGUUGUAGAGCCCCUCUGUUGGGAGAGAAACGCAGCAGGUUAAUACCCCGCUGUUCUGACGGUACCCAAAGAAUAAGCACCGGCUAACUUCGUG
rnacentral:rRNA from 1 species